rnacentral:rRNA from 1 species
UACGUAGGGUGCAAGCGUUUGUCCGGAAUUAUUGGGCGUAAAGAGCUCGUAGGCGGUCUGUCGCGUCGGAUGUGAAAAUCCCAGGGCUCAACCCUGGACCUGGCAUUCGAUACGGGCAGACUAGAGUUCGGUAGGGGGAGACUGGAAUUCCUGGUGUAGCGGUGAAAUGCGCAGAUAUCAGGAGGACACCGGUGGCGAAGGCGGGUCUCUGGGCCGAAACUGACGCUGAGGAGCGAAAGCGUGGGGAGCAAACAGG